rnacentral:rRNA from 1 species
GACGAACGCUGGCGGCGUGCUUAACACAUGCAAGUCGAACGGAAAGGCCCUGCUUUUGUGGGGUGCUCGAGUGGCGAACGGGUGAGUAACACGUGAGUAACCUGCCCUUGACUUUGGGAUAACUUCAGGAAACUGGGGCUAAUACCGGAUAGGAGCUCCUGCUGCAUGGUGGGGGUUGGAAAGUUUCGGCGGUUGGGGAUGGACUCGCGGCUUAUCAGCUUGUUGGUGGGGUAGUGGCUUACCAAGGCUUUGACGGGUAGCCGGCCUGAGAGGGUGACCGGCCACAUUGGGACUGAGAUACGGCCCAGACUCCUACGGGAGGCAGCAGUGGGAAUAUUGCACAAUGGGCGGAAGCCUGAUGCAGCAACGCCGCGUGCGGGAUGACGGCCUUCGGGUUGUAAACCGCUUUCGCCUGUGACGAAGCGUGAGUGACGGUAAUGGGUAAAGAAGCACCGGCUAACUACGUG